rnacentral:rRNA from 1 species
AUUACUGGGCGUAAAGCGCACGUAGGCGGCUUCGUAAGUCAGGGGUGAAAUCCCACGGCUCAACCGUGGAACUGCCUUUGAAACUGCAAAGCUUGAAUCCUGGAGAGGGUGGCGGAAUUCCUGGUGUAGGAGUGAAAUCCGUAGAUAUCAGGAGGAACACCGGUGGCGAAGGCGGCCACCUGGACAGGUAUUGACGCUGAGGUGCGAAAGCGUGGGUAGC